UUUAGGCGAAGAAGGAAUGACGACGAGCGGGAGCAUCGGCCCAAAGAUGCUCCACAACUUCGUCUGUCAGGAGUGCCGUGAAGACGCCGUGUACCUCAUGUGUGAAUAAUGUGGAACAACGUUGUGCUGCCACUGGCACCGGGUUGCGGCGAAUUCCCCUGUGAUGGAGGCGGCUGUGCUUCCCUAAUAGCUGGGGAGAAGAUACGCUGUUUUGCAGCGAGGACUGCAGGCUACGCCAUGAGCUUGCUGCGUUCGAACGGAGAAUAGUUGACUAAUUCAGUCUUUGUAUAUCGAUAUGCAGCUAUGAAUUAUCGUUAUCUUUUGCGUUUGUUUUGCAACUUCUUAUUUUUUAUCAUUUGUAGGAUUAUGAUGUGUACGAUUAUCUUUAUGUGCGAGGACUACUCUCUCUAGAUAAGACAUGCUUUCUCCAACCUACAUUCAUGAAUAAUAACUGCACAAAUAUAGAUAAAAUUAUAGAUAGGUUUGUUCAAACCAAACAUGAGUGCAAAUUGUAGAUAGGUUUGUUGAAACCAAACGUGAGUGCAAAAAACUAUGAAAUCAAAAGGACAGGUGCAACCCACUACAUCCCGCCAAGGUUGUGCCUCAAAUUUUUAGUACUAGUGCAAUGUUUCCCUCCUACGUUUUUCCAAAUCCUCAAAUAUCUCAACCUCCUCCCCACUUGCCCCCAAAACAGCGGCUCCAUCCAUGGCAACUCCUACUGCAAAAAACUAUGAAAUCAACAGGAUAGGUGGGACCUACUACAUCCAGCCAAGGUUGUGCCUUAAAUUUUUAGUACUAGUGCAAUGUUUCCCUCCUACGUUUUCCAAAAUCCUCAAAUAUCUCAACCUCCUCCGUACUUGCCCCCAAAAUGGCAGCUCCAUCCAUGGCGACUUCUUCUCCUUCCAUGGUGACUCCUUCUCCUUACAUGGCCGGCGAUGGAGAAUAUUCUCGAGGGGACGACGGUUCCUCUCUACCCAAGAGACUCCAUCCAUGGCCGCUCCUCCUCCUUCCAUGGCCGGCGAUGAAGAACGGAGCACAUGACCACGUACGGCAGCUGCGUCAGGGGGGUGACGGUUCCUCUCUGCCCUAGCGACUCCAUCCAUGGAGACUCCUUCUCCUUCCAUGACUGGCGAUGCAGAACGGAGCACACGACCUAGUACGGUCGUAAUCGAGGAGGAGGCCGAGAUUGAAGACUGACGUUACAGGUUCGCAUCCACCUUUAACGUCUCAUAGGGUUAGGGCAGAAAAUAUCUAAAGAAUUAAUGCGUACAAUCGAUUUGAUGCUGCCUCAUUGGCGCAUGCUUUUAUAAAUCUCAGAGCUGAUUAGGACUGAUUAAUUUUUCGCAUAGCACUAGUAGUAUUGCAUCUUCAUUCAUUGAUGCGGGGUUUUGAUAUCUAUGUGCACAUACAGAUCAUGCGAGUUGACAGGUGAGUGGGAGGUAACGGUAGAUUGCUUCAGGGAAAAUGGACAAUUAGUGUGCCGGGUUAGGGCUAAAUUUGACAGGAAACAAGUAGACUUUGUCUGGUUGUUGAGUUUGAAAGAAGAACUUGGAUUUUGUCUGCAAGACUACUACUACUACAAGAAGAAAAUAGGAAAUGCUAGUGCAUUUGUCCUGCCAAUUGAUUCCACCAAAGAUGUAGAGUGCUUGCUUGAGAACAUGAAAUCAUCUGAAGAAAGGAAACUAAGGUUGAUAAUAUCAAAACAAGAAGUGGUUGAAGCUACCAACAUUACACCCCUGAAACGAAUAAGGGCAAAUGAGUCUGAUGAUGUUAGUGAUGCUCAUGAAGAUUCUAGUAAUGAUCGUGACAUUGAUGAAUACAAAUAUUGGCUUGAUGCCCAAGACCCAGGAUGUGGUCUAUACGAUGAAUACAGGGAUGAUACAGUAAAAGCAUACUCUAAAUGGUUAAGGCACAAAGGCCUUCUGAGAGAUAUUUAGGUCAAGCAAAGCCUACAGAAGUACGUGACGAAAGCAAUGGUAGUAGCGACACGCCACCACAAGAAUGGCCACCUCAUGCUAGGAAACCAAAGCAGACAAAAGGUGGCAAGAACGUUGGCUGAGGAUGCUUGAAAGGGCUAGCUGCGGUGGCCAAGAGAUCAAAGAGUGGCUUCGAGAAUAAACUGAAAAUCAAAUUUUCCGAAAAAGUGGGUGAUCCCUGUGGAGAUAAUAGACGUACCUUUGUGGAUGAGGUUGUUCUGUAUACAAAGCAGACUAAUUGGAGUUAGAAAUUGGAAAGAUGUGUGUUCAUCUGUCAAGGAGGAUAUCGCAAAAUCUGUAAUGGUAUGUCA